rnacentral:lncRNA from 1 species
GUGUUCUCUCUCUUCCCAUCAGACCAUUAAAUUUAAAUGUGUCUCUCUUGCUUUUCUCAGUUUUCACCAAACACCCAUACCAAAGGUUUAUGAUGGUUGUAGGUGGAUGAUGGUGGGUGGGUGGUGAUCGGUGGCAGAAACGGCGACGGUGAGUGGUGGGGAAGACUGAUGGUGGUUGCUCGACGGUGGUUGGCGUGGAAAGAGAGACGGUGAUGGUGAUGGUGGUGGUGGUCGGUAGAGAUCGGUGAUGGUGGUGGUGUGGGGUAGAGGUGGGGCGUCGGUGUUGGUGGUGGUGGCAUGCUCCGGUGACCAAGUCGCCGCCGGCAGUGGGGUGUGCUCCGAUGACCAGUGGUGGUGGUGGCAUGCUCUGGUUCUUUUCUUUAUUUUUUAAGAAGCUCCAUUUUUUCUUGAUGUUUUGCUAUGGUGUCGGGUCAAUCUGAUUUUUUGUGGUUGUGGUUGAUUUUUUGUGGUUGAUUUAGAGAAAUUGUUGUUUUUCUGGUUGAAAACUUGAUUAUGUUUAUUUUUGUGGAGAAACUGUUGAUUUGUGGUGCCGGUGGUGCCCCGUGGUGCCGAUGGUCGAUUGAAGUGUGGUUUUGUUUUUUGUGGCGCUGAUGAUGCAAAAAAAAACGCAUAUUGUGAUGACGAUGGCGUGGCAAGGACGGCGGAUGGUAGGUUUUUUGAGCCUGCAACCCCACUUUUGCAGCCUUUUGAUUAUCGGAUAAUCUGAGCCAAACCCCCAUUUUUUUCGAGAUACACUUUGUUUUGAUGUUGUUGGUUUUUUAUUUUUUCCCCUAGUCGGUGAUGAUAACAAUAUAUCUGAGACACCUCCCGAGUUUGCGACUUCUGGGUGCGUUCGUUUUUGCAUAAAAAAGUUUUAUAAAAAAAAGUUAAACCGUAAACUUUUUAACGUAAAUCGUAAACUUUUUAAUGUAAAACGUAAAAACGUAAAACGUAAAAAGUUUUAUAACGUUUUACGUAAAAGGUAAAAUGUUAAACGUAAAAAGUUUUACGUAAAACGUAAAAAGUUUGACGUAAAACUUAAAACGUAAAAAUAUUAAAAAGUUUAACGUAAAACGUAAAAAGUGUAAAAAACGGCGCGUUAAUAAAACAGCAAAAAAAACGGCGCGCUUAAAACGACGUGUAAAAAACGGCGUUUAAAAAAACGUGUAAAAAACGGCGCGUUAAAAAAACUUGUGGAAAACGCCGCUUGAAAAAACGGCGCGUAAAAAACGUCGCGUUCAAAAAAUGACGCUUGAAAAAGCUCGGCGAAAAAACGGCGCGUUAAAAAAACAACGCUUGAAAAAGCCUGGCGUGCAAAAAACGGCGUGAAAAAACGGAGCGUAAAACGGGUCGUAAAAAAACGCGCGUAAAAUUUUUUAUCAAAAAAUCUGAUUUCAAAUUGUUGUUUAAUAAAAAAAAUCUGAUUUUAGAAAAUAACAAUUAAUGCAAAUAGGACAAAAAUGUAAUAAAAAACAAUAAAAU